UCACAGUUAUCUUUCAAAACAUGUACGAUUGUAGUACCAAAAUAGUUUUGACGAGUAAUGCCAUCUUCAUGUUGAGGCUCAAAACUUUUCAAACGACCUUCAAAUAAAUAAAUUUGAAGAAAA